CCGCUUCCCAAGUUUAUACUGAUUAAGGACCUCUAUUUUACCAGUGUGCCAUGCUGCAAACAGUAGCCUCCUCGGCAGUGGAUGCAGACUGUUGAUUGUAUGGGUUGCCCUAAGGGACCUUGGAGACAGCC
rnacentral:snoRNA from 1 species